AUAUCUGUACUGACCUCAAAGCAGUACAAAGCUCAGAGCAGUGAUUCUCAAGGUCAUAUCGGGUAUCCUGCAUAUCAGACACUAACGUCACGAUUCAUCACAGCAGCAAAGUGAGUUAUGGUUGGGGGUCACCACAACAUGAGGAGCUGCAUGAGAGGGUCCCAUCAUUAGCAAGGUUGAGAAACACUGGCCGAGAGCUCAGUUGUUUGUUUGUGGGUUCGUUUCUCCCUAGCACCACCCUAACCGCCUUCGUCAGCCUGGGAGAACCAUCUGUCUACACAGCCUCGCUGUUAUCUCUCAGAGCCCGGUCAGAUCUCAUCAGCUCGUGGAUGUUGCACCAUCUAGCCUGUCUUCUAUCAGCACGCAUUUAAUAGCUUCCAGUUUUUUUUAUACUGAAAACAUUGCAAUGAACAUGCAUCUUGCUCACACGUGCAAAUAUUUUGCCAGGAUACGUGUUAGAAUUUGGCUGGUUAAAAUUUAGGUGAAUUUAUUAAAGUAUUGCUUUGUCUUAUGGGAAAUCUGGAUCAACCUAUUCUCCCAGCAUCAGUGGGCCAGGGCAGCCCAUGUCCCUGUCAGCACAGAAGCAGCAGGUGUGUCCGACCUUUAACAAUCGACUAGGCAGAAAUAGAUACUAAAGCACUUUCUAUCCAGCUGCUGUGCGCUUGUUUUUCCUCUUGAACACCCUGCUGAUAAUAGCUUUUACUUAGGUUUAGUUUUAUAUUGUUCAUAUUUUUCAAUUAUAAAUCUAUAAAACCUAAGUGUUAUUACUAUUGAAAUCAGCCCUUUGAUAAAGGUAUGUAUCAUUUGACUUUGUAUGACUUUCUGGUAUGCUUUGCCAUACAGAUAUUUUCCUUUGUAGGAAUUCAAUUUCAUAGGAUCUUCCUCCCUCUAAAAAAUGACAAACGGCAUCUCGGCUUGUCUCGUCUAGUCUGCAGCCCCGGCUCUCUCUGAUCGUGACACCGGCUCAUCCUCCCACGAGAAAAACUGCUGCCCUCAGGAGGACAGAUUCCAAACCUCUGAAUCUGCAACAAAAGCUUUCAAAGAGCAGCCUGAGGAGUCUGAGUUUGACCUCAUGAGCAGGCAUUCCCAGCCUUUCGACAUAGGGACGUGACAUCACGGUCUAUAGAGUUCAUACACACACAGAGCACCAUGCAAUAGAGAUCCAAGACAUAUCCUGGGUUUUAAGUUUGCAGUUUCGUGCUGGGUGGCGUUCAAGGCAUUGUUGAAGAACAUGCAGUUUCUCCAGGGUUCCAUAUUCAGCUUACAUCAUCUGAUUCCUGUUUUCCUGUAUUGGAUCACCUAUCUCAGGAGUUAAUCAGCUCCUGUUCAAAGUCAGCAGGGAGCGUCUGACAAAUCCAUUCCCACCUUAGCGAUUGAUUAGCCCUGGGCUUUAUAAGCAUAGGUCAUGCGAGGUUCUGGCCCUAUUAAAAUUUCUUCCAUUUAUUUCAAGGGGAGAGACAAUCUCUCCUCCAUUCACGUGACUUCUUGAUGUGACAGGUGAUAGUUCUACCCAGUUUAUCAUGUCAGUAAAAUGUCAUUUCUUG
ensembl:lincRNA 5330411O13Rik RIKEN cDNA 5330411O13 gene